rnacentral:ncRNA from 1 species
AUAUUGGUGGUAGUAGCAAAUAUUCAAAUGAGAACUUUGAAGAGUGAUGUGGGGAAAUGUUCCAUGUGAACAUAAAUUGGACAUGGGUUAGUUGAUCCUAAGAGAUGGGGAAUCCUUGUAUCAAGGGUGCACUCUGCAUGAACAUCGAAAGAUAAUUGGGUUAAUAUUCCUGAACCGAGACAUGGUGGUGGAGGACAAUGUUAGGAAAUCUGGAGAUGUCAUCGGGGGCCUAGGAAGAGUUAUCUUUUAUUUUUAAUGACUUUCCCACCCUGAAAUCGAUUCAACCGGAGAUAGGGUCCAACAUCUGGAAGAGAAAAACAUGUCUUGCAAUGUUUUGUGCCCCCUUAGCGGCCAUUGAAAAUAUGGAGAACAGAGUACCAUCCAUGCCUGAUCGUACUCAUAUCUACCUCCUUGGAUUUUUCAAUGCCC